UUCUUUGCGCAGAGCGCUGAACUCCAUUCUGGCGCGUCAGCAUUCUAUAUGGAGAGCUACUUAGUUGCUAUGGAUUAUGUUAUGCGUUGUUAACUUACAAUCUUGCACAUGCACAAACACAUGAAACCAAUUCACAUUUUUGCUUACAUAUCAUUCUUUUGUACACAUAUAGAAAAAAUCAAACCCCACACCCACAAAUACACUGACUAGACAUUCCCGUUUCUCGCGACGCACUUCGAGCAGAUAAAAACUCUGUACAGUAGUCUUAAGCUGACAUUCUUGGAAUAAAGACGUUCACCGAAAUUGUUCGUGUUUUCAAUUUAAAGUUGUUUCAGCGUUGAUCCUUGUCUGUGUUAUUGACGGAUCAUUUAUUCGACUAAUAAAUUAAUAACUACCGCAGAAGCUUUGUGGUAACUAAACUCAAAUUAUGUAUGCUUGCUGCUCGUGGAAAUUCUGCACGCAUAUGGUCGGACAACACCACUAAUUUUGUCGGCGCUCGGAAUGAGCUGGAGGAUCUUAAGCGCUUGUUCCUGAAUGCAUUGAAUGGCGAUUCAUCCCUCCUCGAUCGCCGCAUUUUGGAGGCCUCUAGAAGGCGGCUGUCAAAACAGCAAAGCAUCAUUUUUAACGAGCUGUUGGCCCUGUCGUUUUGCCCGCUGAUGACCUGCGCAAGCUCAUUUGCCACAUUGCGGCAAUAAUUAAUUCAAGACCUUUAGUUCCUCUUUCAGAACACCCUGACGACCUUGAAGUACUAACGCCAACGCACUUCUUAGGCACGGCCCCCCUCGCCUUGUUUGCUAAGCCUGAAUUUAAACUCAACCGAUUGGAUCGCUCUCAGCGAGUCACCUACUACCAGCAAAUAUUCUGGAGCCGGUGGAGACGUGAAUAUCUAACGCUUCUUCAGCAAAAGUUGCAAAUGGCGACCACAGAAGACAGACGUUCAAAUCGAUGAUGUCGUUUUAGUAAAAGAUGGCGUCGCACAAGUUGCUGUCCUCAAAACUGCCACUGGAAUCUUCAAUAGAGCCGUCGCUAAAAUUUGCGUUCUACCCAAAUAGGAUGAUGUUGUCAGCCCGUGUCCUCCAACGGGGGGAGGAUGUUUGGUUAUGCAGCCCGCAGCUAGCAGCAGCUCAUCAUAAAUUUGAGUUAUUUAUUUACCGCUCUUAUACAUUGCUCUGUGCAUUCUGAUUUUGCAUUCCCCUUUAUGCUAUGUUCCUCUCUCUCUCAAUAGAGAGCGAGCACAGCUGUUUUAAUAUUUGUUAUGUAAAACUCAGUUAGAAAUUAAGUGUUGAUCGCUCCGGUACUGUUUUAAUACACUUUAACUUUUAAUCGGUUCGGUACGGGCAUUACCGCCGUUCGCCUACAGCCCGGUGUGGCAAAUUAUAUUAAAAAAAAAA